CAGGCUGAGCGAGAGAGAGAGAGAGACAGAGCAGGAGGUUGCGCAGUCAUCUCGUCUCGUCAGAACGUCUAUUCCUUCCUUCCGAGACCAGGACGCGUGUCGAGGUUGGUUUAAGGCUGAGGAGACGCGUCUGGUUAGUGGUUACGGACCCGGAGGUGACGGAAGGUGGUACAGGGACGGCUCCGGCUCGUCCACGAUGGCGACGGCGAGCAGCAGUAGCGGCGGCGGCGGCGGCGGCGGCUUCGUCGCUCGGCGCCUCUCGUUCGCCGCCGGAUAGGCAUUGGGUAGCAGCGGUGGGGAGGUAAGUAGGCGAGCAAGAACGGCGCGGCUGAUUGAGGAGCGCACGGCGCGCGUUGUCACGUCCGCCUCGCGCCGACGACGACUGAGCCUCCCGCGACCGCCCGCGGUACCACUGCCACCGCCGCCGCCCCGCGCGGUCCCGCCGCCUCCUCCUGCCGCCGCUCCCCCACCACCCGCGGAAGUUCAGCGACAAGCUGGGCUUGCUCCUCUGGUUCCCGCCCUUCCACGACGGGUUCCGCAUGGACUUCCGCCGCGCCCUCCACCACGCCUGCGAGGCCCUCAGCGACCCCCUCCCCCUGCGGCGGCCGCUGAGCCGCUCGAAGGCGUCCCCGCGGCUGAGGCGGUUCUGCAGGUAGGCCCUCAAGUAGCCGCCGACCUCUCCGGUCGGGCGGCAGCGGUCUCUCCUCAGCAUACACCGCGACCUCUUCCGGUAGUUUAGCGACCGCCUCAAGAUGAGGUUCCGUCCCGGGAAGCGGAGCGAAGGCCCUCUACAGUUCUUGUUCUAGGAGCUGCUGGAGUUGCGGCGUCUCCGGAUGGAGAUCUAGAGAGAAACGAAUCGUGGUAACAUAAAGGCCGCAUUGAAGCAAUAUGAACACAGGAAAACAACGCUGCAAUACUCUCAUUUAAUUUUAACUUUACCUAGGGGUAAAGAGAGAAACUAAGUUGCCUCCGCUUAUACCCGUAGUCCCAUCGUCUCUGUGACCUCUCCACGACCCACGAUCCAAAAAAAAAAAGCUCCCAUGCGGUUUCCGCAUGGAAUCGAAAUAUCUUCUCUCUUUUUAUACAUGUUCUCUAAUGUUUCGCGAUCGAUUCUCGGUGUUUGG
rnacentral:rRNA from 1 species